UGCUUGCCACGGACGAGCGACCCUCAGAGCUAAGCAGCCACCCUUCCCUUCCCCACCCCGGGCCCCGCCGGGCGAGUCUCCCAGCCCGGGGCGCGGGGCGGGGGCGGCCCUGGAUUAUGCGGGACAGCAGCGCGUUCCCGGGGCCUCCGCCCGCAGCCGGCGGCGGGACCCGGGCGGGCGGCCGAGACCGUGAGCCAUUUGCAUUCCCCGGCAGUCAUUUUUAUAUGCGGAGGCCAGUACGACGUUUUAUCCUGGAAGGCACUUCUGAAGUAUGAUAGUGAAUUUCCCCAACAAUUUCUCUGCACAGCUUUACACUGAGAACCCAGCACUGGGGACGGUGAUAAAUGCAGCAAAGUGAGGAAGUCAAACUACAAAGUACACCAGAAAUAUCUCCAAGAGCGCCAGCACCCCGAGCUAUCUGGACCCGAAGUGGAUCUGCUCAGAGGUAUCCUGGCUCACCCUCAACAUCCACCCCGAGGACAACGCUGCUGCACUCAGCCGACUCUGGCUUUAACUGAGCAGGCCGUCCACACCGCAAGCCUGAAAGCUUGGCAGGGCUGAGAAAGGCAGUCUUCUCAGCUGAAGGCUUCUGCUCUUGUAGCAGGAAGAGCAAAUUUAAGAACAAGAAUGCCAGAGUUGGAUUACCCUUGAGAUUUAAUGACCAGAACUAAGAUUUCUGAGACCAGAGUGACUAUUGAGGGCUUUUGUCACGUUGCUUGAAGUUGAGUGCCUCUCAGUUCCAGGAGGCCACUGAAGUGAAACUGCAGGCUGGUCCGGCGGCCUGUCUACCUGCUCCACACCCCUGCCUCUCGCCUGCCUCUGCUCAAACACGAUCUUGCCUUGGCAGCACUGCAAGGCGGAAUAAAAACAUACAC